rnacentral:rRNA from 1 species
GCAAGUCGAACGAGAAAUUUAUUUCGAGUGGCGAACGGGUGAGUAAUGCAUUUCUAACUUGCCCUAGAGUGUGGAAUAACUAUUGGAAACGAUAGCUAAUACCACAUAUCAUAUCUGUUGGCAUCAACGGAUGUUUAAAGGGGCGUUUGCCCCGCUCUAGGAUAGGGAAAUGUCACAUUAGCUUGUUGGUAGGGUAAAGGCCUACCAAGGCAAUGAUGUGUAGCCGAGCUGAGAGGGUGUCC